UGCUAUAAUGCAAGUCGAGCGGAUGACGGGGAGCUUGCUCCCCUGAUUCAGCGGCGGACGGGUGAGUAACACGUGGGCAACCUGCCUGUAAGAUCGGGAUAACUCCGGGAAACCGGGGCUAAUACCGGAUGGUUCCUUCCUCCGCAUGGAGGAAGGCGGAAAGACGGUUUCGGCUGUCACUUACAGAUGGGCCCGCGGCGCAUUAGCUAGUUGGUGGGGUAAUGGCUCACCAAGGCAACGAUGCGUAGCCGACCUGAGAGGGUGAUCGGCCACACUGGGACUGAGACACGGCCCAGACUCCUACGGGAGGCAGCAGUAGGGAAUCUUCCGCAAUGGACGAAAGUCUGACGGAGCAACGCCGCGUGAGCGAAGAAGGCCUUCGGGUCGUAAAGCUCUGUUGUAAGGGAAGAACAAGCGCCGGUUAACUGCCGGCGCCCUGACGGUACCUUACCAGAAAGCCACGGCUAACUACGUGCCAGCAGCCGCGGUAAUACGUAGGUGGCAAGCGUUGUCCGGAAUUAUUGGGGCGUAAAGCGCGCGCAGCGGUUUCUUAAGUCUGAUGUGAAAGCCCACGGCUCAACCGUGGAGGGUCAUUGGAAACUGGGAGACUUGAGUGCAGAAGAGGAAAGCGGAAUUCCACGUGUAGCGGUGAAAUGCGUAGAGAUGUGGAGGAACACCAGUGGCGAAGGCGGCUUUCUGGUCUGUAACUGACGCUGAGGCGCGAAAGCGUGGGGACAAACAGGAUUAGAUACCCUGGUAGUCCACGCCGUAAACGAUGAGUGCUAAGUGUUAGGGGGUUUCAGCCCCUUAGUGCUGCAGCUAACACAUUAAGCACUCGGCCUGGGGAAUAGGGCCGCAAGGUUGAAUUCAAACGAAUUGACGGG
rnacentral:rRNA from 1 species